GGUGAGGUGGCUGAGUGGUCGAAAGCAGCGCUUUGCUAAAGCGCCGUGCUCCAAAAGGGCACCGAGGGUUCGAAUCCCUCCCUCACCG
rnacentral:tRNA from 1 species